rnacentral:lncRNA from 1 species
GAUAUAUGCACAAAAUAUGAUCAAUCAGUUGUGUCAAGCGUUUGGCAAUUUGAUAUUUGUGUGUCUGCAUGGCGACGCCCAGACUCCCCAAUGGGAUGUGCAACGCCUAUAGGCUACAAUUAUGUUUGCUUACGACCAUGUUUGGUUUACGGCCAAAAUACACAUUGGAAUCGGGGGAGAGAGGCAAAACAGGACACAGCAGCAACAACAUCCGAACUCAAACCUGAAGCAACAAUCUCGCACCAAUUUCAAUGUUUUUACUGCCAAGGAAUAUAUUGUGAGUACAAAUAUACAUUUAGUAAACUUUAAAUUUACAAAAAAUAUGGCACAGUUUGUAGUGCUUUUCCAAUAUCUAUUUCCGCUACAAGAUAAUUACUUUGACUCCAGAACUCUCAAAGGAGAAAAAACCAUAAGCAAGCAAACAACAAAAGCCCUUAAAACAGAGGAGGGACUGUGUCUCUCUGUUGUGUAGAUCGAUAGACUUUUGUAAAAAGUAAACGAUUUGUAUGCUGCAGCUCCCGCCCCACACCCUCCCACACUCGCCAUAAACAUAGACAAUAAAUUUGGACAAAAGGCAAAACACAUUCGACGAGUGGCAACAGCAGAACGACAAAAAAAGGAAGAAAAUAAGAAAAAAAAGAAAACUUAGGCAGAGACAGAGAAAGCGCAGACUAUGGCCAGAAGGGAGGGUACCGACAAAAAAAGAUAAGGGCAUUGAGAGAGAAACAGAGAACAACGAAACCAAAAACCCAAACAAAAUGGCAGCUCUUUUAGACUCUGCUUCGAUUUAUUUAGUUAUAAAUCCGGACACUGGGAGGGAACACAGGAACAAGGAGGAGGAGGAGGAUGUGGAUGCCUCUGCAAGACCGUUGAAGCGGCAAAUUCUUUUGCGGCUGCCGAGCAUUUGCUGCUUUCCCCCUGCAAAAAUGUUGCACAAAAUAUUAUUUGACUCACAGAGUGUGACAAAAGGAGGGGGCGGGGGCAAAAGAGAAAGAGUCAGUUGCACAAACUUAUUUUUAUGCCCUGUUAAUUGUCCCCUACCAACACCAUGCCCCCACGACCACUUCCCUUGCCACACUUUUGCAUACGCAACUGUCAACUUUUGCCAUUUUCGCCAAACUUCACACCAGGCGAAAGGCGCACAGAUGGGCGGGGGGUGCUGGGGCCCAGGUCCAGCCACUUGCACUCCCACUCCCGGCUCAUAUGUGUGGGCAUCAUAAAUAUUUUCCAGCCCAUUGAUUUUUGGUCGUUUGGGCUGCCAGCCGUUGCUGAUGAAGUCUGCAUGGGAGGUACUCCGUAUGUGUGUGCUUGUGUGUGGGUGUUCCGGAAGUGAAAUUCUCCAUUGUCUAAGAGAUGGAAAUAAAGCUGAGCCAUACAAACUUGUCCUAAGCUUAAUCAGGGCAUGCUUAAAUAAUUGAUAUUCUGGAAGAAGAUUUCGGAACACAAUCAGAACUGUUCACAAAAUCCGUGCCCAUCAAAGUGUGCCACUGAUUUGAUUGACGAUUCGAUGGGCCCAAAAAGGGAUUUGAGGAACAGACAUCGAAUCGGGACUAAUCGGCGACAUUAACGAACAUUUUGCUGAUGUUUUUGCUGCUUGUCACGCAUAAGCUUCUGUUGCCCAUCGACCUCGUACUCUCACUCCAACCCGCUCUGCCCGUUCUGCUCUACCCUUCGUUCUGUGUGUGUUUUGUUUCCAGCAACACUUGAUUGCUUUUGUGUGCAAGUGUGUGUGUGUGUGUGUGUGUUGUGUGUUGUGCGUUGUGUGUGUGCGUUAAAAAGUAUGCUACGCUUCAAAUAGACGCAAAUUAUGUUGUCGGUUUAUGCGAGCAAAAGAGUGGCAACAGACAGAAAGAGGGAGAGAGAGAGGGCGGCCCACUUAUGUGCAUGCGAGUGUGUUUAUGCGUUUUUAUGCCCAACAACGUUUUAUGGGGCAGAGCAGACUCAUAAAUAUUUUUGCUCAAGUUAAUUGAAACAUUACCAAAAAAUGCUUGUUGGCAAAUAUUGAACAAUUCUUGUUGUUUGCGGGAUUUCGGCUGGGCUGCCCCCAUAACAAAAUACAUUCACAUGACUAAUGGCCUGCACAUACACACACACACACACAAACACACGCAUACAUUUUUUAGCAUAAAACGAUUUUUUGUAAUGAUUUAUUGGCAGUUGAUGGAUAUAAAUGGGCGAGAAAUGUUUACCCGUUGGUAUUUAUAUGGCAAACAGCCUCGCAUCGAAUGGAAUUGCUUCUGCAAAAGCAGUGGAAAAAUUCUCGUACCAUGAUUGUCAAGCAUUGUGAUUGAAGAUUGCUCCAAUUAAUAGUGCUGUCCGUGGCCCAAAGAUAUUCGCUAGUAAACAAUUAAGUGUCUGUUAGCCUUCGAUUUUUUACUGCUCAAUUAACAAUGAAUAUUCAUGUGACAGACAGGCUGCAAUGUAAUGUUAUUUUUGUGAAACUUUUACAUGGAAUUAAAAUAUAUGUAUGAGAUAUCUUCCUUUAAUGCGGAGCUAAAUUCAAUGGAAACUCAUCUUCAUGUUGUGCCAGCCAUCGUAUCAGUUUUAAUCGAUACUUUGGCUUCACAAAAAGGGGAAAAUUUAAUUUAAACUUUGCUUUUGUGGGGGUAGGUGCGGAGGAAAACUGCAACCGCAUAAUUUGGCAACAUUUUGCGGUUCAACUUUCUCACAUUUCGGCACUUUUCUCUAGUUAAUUUUGCGGUUUCUAAUUAAAAUUUGUUUGCUUCGUAUAAACUCUCCGUUUCUUUUAUUUUGGCAGUUGCUUGCCCCUUUCUCUUGUCUUGGGUAGCUGUCUAAUUAGGGUCUGGGGCCAAAAUUAAAUUGCACGCAGCGUGCGGCCUUUUUAAUAAUGCCGCUUACACCCAAAAAUGCGGUAAAUUGUGUACAUAUAUUUUGACAGACAACCGAAACGACGCGACGGCAAUGACGAGACGGCGGCUAAUUGAAAAAAAUGUAUUUAAUAGCAUAAUUCCCGCCGCUUGCGUUUGCCCAAAAGGAAAGUGUGAGGUGAAAUGUGGUAGGUUUUGGGGUGAGGCAAAACUUUGAACUUCCCUCCAUUUGCUCCUUUCAUUAUUGGUUAUCACCUGGAAACCAUCUUUUGGGAGGGUCUACGUCUUCGCAGGACGAAAGCCAGUCACGACUCGACAUCAAACACUAUUUAAAUGAAAUUUGUUUUUGAUUAGACAAUUUGUAUGCAGAAAUCAACGCCAAGAGUUUAAUAAAACAAAUUGGUUUUUCUUUACGCUCCCACCUCAUCUCCCUACCCCCGGCCUCUCUUUGGUGUCUGCUGUUUGCUUACAGCUAAAUUAAAUUAAAAAUUCAAUGUGGGGCGCCCUUAGCACGCGACAAAAUUCAAUUCCUUCGUCAGAUCAAAAAUUGUCUCCGAUAUUGAUGAGGCAAUUGAGUGCGGAAAUGGGGCAAUCGGUCAGUGUUGUGGUGAGGCCUGCUGGGGCAUAGGGGUCUUUGUCCAUCUGUUGCUGACGCUUCACAAAUUAACCACAAGCUGGCUCCGUUCUUGCUGUUGUCUCCAUUUUAAAAUGCAAUGAAAUGAGUGGCAUGAACCCAGCGGAAAUUAUUGUGAGGUUCGGUUGUGGCUAAAGCUAAUUUUGUAUUUGAUUGUGGAUGCUUUGAUUAGGCCCAAGUUGCGGUGUCUUCAGUAAUUCAUUCUCGAGCCCUAAUGAACCCAAAACAAAUUUGAAUGAAAUUGGUGUUCCCCUGGCUUCAGUUCAGUUAUCUAAUAUGCUGUUUUGUUGCUUCUAUAAAUAUUAGAUAAUACAUGAAACAGAGUUCAAAAAAGUCAACUUUCGGGCUGUCCACAAAAGUAAACUACAACAAAUAGUUGCAGCACCUAAAAUACCAGAAUAUCCUACAUUUGAGGACCUUUGCACCUAGCAUUUGGUACUUCCCUUGGCCAGACGUAUGUUAAUGCCUUUCGUUUGCCGACAAAACUUGUGCAAGAUCCAAGGAGUUAAGUGCCGGGUGCCAAAUGUUAAUGUCCAGCCCAGAAAGGUGAAAUGUAAAUGUGCAGAAAGUGUAGACGGUCUUGGCCUUUGUGCGGCUGCAAGUUUUAUGAGGAUAGGAAGACGAGUGCACCCACACACCCACACAUACAUAUGUACAUAUAUGAGGAAGUUUCGCUAGGUAAUCCAGAACUUCAUUAGGGCAAGUGGCCUGGCCUGCUGCUCCGGUGCUAACUCCGGUAACUUCCCGCUACAAAAGUUGACCAUCUAAUAAAUUGAAAUAUAAGUAACAGGCAUGUGUGUGUGUGCGUGUGUGUGUGUGUUGCAUUUGUGUUAAUAACGCCAACGGUCAGCUUUGAUUGUGCAUUUUGAGAGUGAAAUAAAAUUGUGGGAGCACCACUGCAGGAGCCCUUGAGGAAGGAGCCCGAUCUGAGUGAGGAGGAUGGAGCAGAUGUUGUCGAAUUGGGGAAAAGUUUCGGUCUCCUUUCUCCAUUACGUGGCUCUCGAAAGCCACUUGGGCAAUUAGAGACCGGCAAAAGUUUGUGGCCCGGCGCCAUCGCCAUCAUCAUCAUCAGGACAACUGUGAAAGUUUCGUCAAGCUUUGGGGAGUUGAAGUUUUCUUCGCCUAUGGACCUCCUGGCCCUCCUGGCCCUCCUGGCCCUCCUGCGGUGCUGCGGUAAUUGCGUGCGUAUUGUUAGACGAAGGCAUUUGAGUUACCGGAGAUCCUGGAAGAAACUGCAGUCAAGACGUGGCCGCCCUAAGAAUCGUAAGGAUACUGCAGGUGUAACUCGAAUAAAUAUGUAACAGAGUCUAGAGACUCUAGUCUCUUGGAUCCAUUCAGGCACACGAUGAUUGCUUUGAUUUUCAAUGCUCCCCCCUGCCUGAUCCCUGGCGUUGCUCUGGAAACUAAAUAAAAUGCAUAUCAAGCUCAAAUUGAAUAUCCUCAUUUGACGCAUAAACCAGGCGCAGAAGUAACAGCAACAGCAACAGCAAAAACAUCAUGCAGGAUACGAGGAUAUGCAGGAAACAAUGUAUGCAAUCCUUGCUUAUGGCAAGUAAAAUACACCUUUGUGUGUUGCCCAUAAAAAAUGCAGCAAAGGAGCCUCGGCUAAAGGGUAGAGAGAGCAGCAUGGUAUGCUAUUCCGAGAAGACAAAAAGGUAGCAUAAACUGUUGAGGCAAAACUGUUGGAUCCUUGGAGUGGAAUCUCGUCGCAUGCUGAUGCUGGUGUUCCGUGUCCAUGUCCCGGCAUUAAGCAGUAAAAAAUGCAGAAAUGAAAGAAAAAAGAUGGGCAUGGGGCGAGCCACGUGGUGCGGCUCAGGUGGAAAGAACAAGCAGAGUAGUCAAUACUCGCAAUAGUUCUAAAGUAGUACAAGACACAGAGAGAUAAAGAGCGAGAGAGAGAGAGAGAGAGAGAAGAAGAACAGCAACAAGCCACCACAUUAUGACAACAAUAAAACCCAGAAAAGCAAUAAGAAAUACAAAGGGUAGAAGAAGACUGUUGUGAACCCAAAUGAGGGAGGCUCCAAUAGUUCCCAAAUAAAAGCACAAACAACAUGACGUGUAAAUAUGUAUUUCAAAUCUGUCAUCCAAAGAGAUCUUUUAAUAGUCACUUUGUUAAUCUGAAAAAUCUAUGAAAAAUCUGUGGUUGCUAAGCGAGCAAUGUAGUGAAGAAUGUGAAGAAUUGCCCGAGAUUAAAAUAUAAGAAAGAAGAAAUAUAAGACUCCACGUAGAAGAUUCCUUCACAGUCAGAAUUAAUUUACAUUAUGAAAUCUCCAAAUCAGUUCUUAUAAUUUCUCCUUACGCUGAAAAGUGCGAAAACCCUUGGAGCGACUCUCGCUCAUAACUGAUGCUUAUGUGCUUACUGCAACAACUUGGUAUUACCGGCAAUGCCGACAAACAAAGGAUAUUCUCCACCCGCAAGACCAAACUCCCGCCCUGCCCUGCCCGUUCCUAUGCUGCACCCCCCUCUUUUCCAGUUUCCUUAGCUUUUUACCGAUUUUCUGGUUGGCGAACAACAACAGCAGCAGCAACGAAUCAUGCAACAAGCAAUGAGGCAGCAGCAGCAGCAGCAGCGCCAGCCACAGAGAGAGAGAAAGAUGAAAAGAUAAGCAAAGAUUGCGAAAAUUGUAUUUUCCAUUGUGAGUGUUUGAGGGGGGUGUUGGGGGGAAAAGUCGGGGCUGGAAUUGGAGUUCGAGAGUCCGUGUCUUGGCCAAAAAAGAAAAUGCCCAAAACGUUUGCACUAUAAGCUUUCAAUUGGUUUGUGGUUUUGUGGCAGGGAGGGGGACCCUUUCGGACAACCCUUUUAGUGUGCGAGUGAAAGGGGGGCACGGUACAAGGAGAAGUUCUUCUCAAUUUCCGUUACACGCCAAUGCGCGUGUAAGAAGCAUGUAAAUAUGCAGGAGACGAAUGAAAGGGCGAUAGAUGCCAAAGUUAUGAGCCUGCAAUUGUAGUUGGACCGGAUCAAGGGCCAAGAGAUGCCCAAAGAGCAAAGGAGAGGGUUAGAGAGAGAGAGAGAGGAAGAGUUGGAAGCAGGGCAUAAAUCAAAAUCAAAUUUGAGUGCUGUUUAGUCAAGUGGUUUUCGGUUGGUUUGUGGAUGCUGUGAAGGCAAUGGAUGGGCCAGCAGCGGAAACAUUGCCACAGAAGUGACCAAUAAGUGGGUCAGUAGUCAGCAUUAAGUGGAAUUUCCAACUAUUGUGCUGACAGCAGUACGUCCCUCUCCCCCUGUCUACUCUGUGCCUAUCAAAGGGGCACUGAUUGGGUUUUUGCUGAGCCCUAAGACAAUUAAAGGCCAUCAAAAUUCAACAGCUUACCAUUAAAUCAAUGGCUGGCUGUUGAGUGCCUCCAGCUGAGGGUCGCCUGAAGCUGAUUCUGAUUGAAAUGAAUUAAUGUUCUUGGCUUUCAUCAACAACUAGAGAUGGGAGAUGUCAGAGCUAGGAGCUAGGAAGGUUACUUUUACGAUAUUCGUCUAGCUCCAGCAACCAUCUCAAAAAGUACCGCCGGGACUUUGUUUACGCCACGGAAAGAAUUUGCAUUUUAUUAGCUUUCCAGCCGCUCGAGUGUCUGUUACCCCGGCCUCCUACAAUGCAAGAAGGCGUAAGACAGAGAAAGACAAAGCAUCCGUCGGCAUAGACAAGCAUAGAUUUGCAUUACAAAGUCCCGGCGAAAUGUUCAAUGAAAAAUCACUUGGCGCCCAAUUCGUUUUCGUAGACAUCGAGGUGUGCUGGGCCGUCGCUGCUUUGGCAAACAAAUCCUGUCAAACGACUUAGACUAUAAUUGCCAUUUCCAAAGGAGAAGAUAAGGCUGCAAAGAUGAACUAACAUGAGACCAUAAAUAUCGGGCUUAAAGCAGCAUUGGCAACAGCCAGCAGCAUGGGCAGGAGUAGCGGAGAGCAAAAGCGAAAGUUUCCUCUACUUUUUUGUGUGGUCUUGUGGUCUCCAUUCGGAAAACUGAUUGUGAGGGACAUGCAAACCCUAUUUGAAUUUCAUUUUCGUAUGCAAAUUUUCAAUGGGUUUUUAUGCCGUUCGUUUCAUUUCAUUUCGUUUCGUUUCGUUUGUGAAACGGAAACUAAGCCACAGAAAUAUGCAAGUGAAUUGCUCCGCCGCUCGAUGCUCGUUGCUUGCCGCUCGACUUUUGCCUUGACUUUCAUGGCGGAUGCCCGGCCAGAGCCCUGCCGGACUCGACCUCGAACCUUCAGUCGAGUCCAGUUCUUCGGUUUGGUCUGCGAAACAAUUGAAACAAGUUUGCAAUCAGUGCGCAAACUUUUUGCCACCGACAAAGGGCGGCAGGCGAGUGAGCACAGAACAGAACCGAACAGAACGCUUUGGUCCCGGGCUGCUCGAAGAGCAGCAGACAAACAAGGCCCUGAGAGAUACUCGCACCCGUACAGUUUGUACUCGGAGAAAAAAAAAGAACCCAGCAGCAGCAAAUUGUGCGGCUGUCAAGGACGGAAGGUUGGCCGUUUGGCGUUUGGCAGUAAACAACUUUGGGUGCGCCUAAAAGUACGAGUAUGCAUCAAAGGCGCAAACAGAAUUCGCAGACGAAAGAAGAACUACAUGGAAUAGAGAAAUACCCUGCUUGUUACAGCCAUUAAGCAGCGCACAUAGACCGCAGCCAAGUUUGUUCAAUUAGCGAACGGACUUUAUGUCUGCCACGCCCAAUUCGCAAUGUCACAAAGGAGUUCAAACAGUUGCGGGGAGUGCUGGAGGUGUGGCAUUGAUCCAAUAUCUAUAAAUCAAAAGGCGCACAAAAAGCGCUUUACAAUAAGGCUUAAUCACAAACACAAGUGAGGGGAUGAAAAGUGAGAAAAGUUUAAGCAGCAAUCAGGAACAACAAACAAAAGAGAGGAGGGGGAUUAGAGGGAUUACCAAUAAUGGGCUAGGAAAUUGAAACUUAGGUUGGUUAAAGUUUGCUAAAAUGGUCAGACAUAUGGGAGAGGGGAGGGAGAACACCGCGCGAUUGCGAUUGCCUUUGAUUGAUUGAUUAAAAUGGAAUUGAAUGUUUUUCUAAUUACGCCUCAUUAGGAUUACAAAUCGAGUGAAUAGGUGCCAGCCUCAUAAAUAUUAAGCAAACUGAAAUUGAAAACGGGCCUCGUUUCGAGUCUCGAGACUCUACAUUCUGCAAUUGAUUUGGAGCAUGUGAUUGAUUGUCUGUCGAAUCUCCGAUGUGAAUCCUUCUCGGCGACACCAUAACUGUCGUCUGCUGUGUCACAGUGUCACACCUACACACAUGACCAGACAUUGAGGGGAGCAAGAGUAACUCCACGCACAAGAAAGAGGAUGAAGUGGGGCUUGGCUUGCAGCGAGGCAUGAACAUGACGCAUGAAAGUCGUAACAAAACACUUUGAUUGAUGAUUGAAUGUGUUUGUGUGGGUCUUAGUUAUGGCAUCGUGAGGAGUUCUCAUAUCACCACUAAGCAAUUCGAUUCAAUAAUUCAUUUCAAGACUUAUAAGCGGAACUGAACUGAAUACCUUGGAAUCCCAUCACGAAACCAUCUCCGAUCAAACCACUAUCGCUGCCCACCACCGCAAAAUGGAGUCUUCUCUUCCACAGACACACCACACGCACCCCCACACACCGACACACAUUCAGGUGCAUAUAAGUUCAUGAUUUCAUAAUGGCUGUGACAUGUGGCCAUCAACUGGACCCACUCUUGGAUUCAUUCACCCUCGUUCCCACCCGUCCGGCAGUGUCUGUGCGGUCAGGCAGUUACAGGUUUGAGUUAAUCCAUUGUCGUCAUCCUCUCGAAUGCUGGCUGUGAGAAUGUUGUGGAUGUUGUCGAUGUUGCUGCUGUUGGUGGCUUGUCUUUGAAAUGUUUCGGCGGUCGACGGCUCGUUGCUCUGCGGCUGGUUUUUGGUUUCGGGAUAAACGUACCCGAGCCCCAUUCACCGCUUCGUUUCGACCAUAACUUUAACUCUCCGUUGAAGUUAAAUUAAAGUUUCAGUUUUUUCCCCAGUUCUGUUUGCUAUUUGCACUGCUGGAGAGAUGGAAAAAUAAUGUAAAAAAGAAUUCGUGAAUGAAAUAUGAUUUAUUAGGAAUAAUUCUGGAGAGUUGCAAAAAAUCAGUAAAUUAUUUUAGCAUCAGUCAUCGAGUUUCUCGUUCAAAUUUUCCAGCAAGCAGCUCAUCCAAAAAACCUGUUGGUUUCAAGCCUGAAGGAACUUUAGUCGCAGAACUUAAAGCUGAAGCUUUUUUUUUCACUUGAAAUUUUCCUGCAUGAAACCUGAAACUAUUGUUAAUUUUUACAACAAAUCAUCUUUUGAGUUCAACGUCUUCAAAUCUCAAUGGCUCAGGACAAGCAUCAUGUGGGUUGUGGGUGUGUGUAAUUAAAUGUAAUUCAAUUAAAUAGAAUUUAUGUCGUCAAUUUUAUUAAGGUAUUUAGCAAGGCAAAGCAGAAAAGUCUCAGAAAAGGAUAUGUAUGUAUGUAUGUUUCAGAAUAUCCUUAAAUGCAUUUGCAAUCAAUUUAUCAUACGGCUGAUUUGACUGCACUGGCCUGGGGCAUGGUAGAUCAUCAUCAUUCGCCCCAAGCGAAUGUAAAAUUUAAAUGCAAUGUAAUUAAAUUUAAAUAAAGACAGAAACCAGAACGCACUCAACACACACAAACACACAGGUGUUGAAUGGCGGAUGAAAGAAGAGUCGGUUUAUGCCGAUGGGACGGUGGAUGCCGCCUGGUGGCCUGAUGAUUAUUUAGAUGCACUCGGAAACCAGCAGCUCGAGGGCUUAAUGUCGCAUAUUUAAUUAUCCCACACAAUGGGAAUGAACCAAGUAAUUUUCUAGAUGGUUAGGUUUUGAUUACAUUUUCUACAAUUAUAUGUACGAAAGGAAAUGGCGAGUUCUUUAUGUCAUUGUAGCCAUUUUCAAUUACGGCUGCAUACAUAGAAAUCCGUUUGAUGUUACUUCAAAUGAAAGAUAUGUUACUUGAUGUAACUACUCGACUUCUGACUUAGUUUGGCAUUAAAUGCACCUAAUUAAUUGCUUAUGCUGCGGUCUAAUUGCGGCAUUAUGUCUGCGGCAAAACAAUGACCUGACAUUUACAUAAGCAUUAGGCAAACUCUGUGAAACAUGAGGACAAACUUCCAUCUCCAUUGCUCCAUCACUCCGCCGCCCCAUCCCACGAGUUCGAGUGUCUGUGUGUUCGCGUCUGUAAUUGACACUUUUGGACUGUCCGAGUCGACUCACAAAGGCCCCAUACAAUAGUCCUGAUUGCGUGGGCCCUGACCGCUCAAACAACUAAAUCCAUCUAUCAAAUCCAUCGUCCAACUCUCUCUCCCCCUCACUCUGCGCUGAACUUAUGUAUGUGUAUGCAGGAUUCGCAUAACUCAUACGCAGCGUGGCGCGGAAAUUAUUCGCUCCGUAAAACAUCCAAACGAAGAGCCACAAAAAAAAGAGAGACCCAUUCAAAUUGAACGAAAUUGCCGGCAACCUUUAUACAAUUACCAGAAAAGAACCCAAAAGCAGGAACAAGACACGAAAAAAUGCGAAUAAGAGAGCAGAAAAGUGGAUGAUGCUUGGCCAAGGCAGGGGUGUAGUUGGGGAAUAACGUCGGGGAUAGAUAGAUACUUGGCAGAUGUAUUAUAGACAACAUUUAUGGCACACUAUGGAUAUGUUCAAGCAGCUGAAGCCUUCGAAAAUAAGAGCCCUCUCUCAGACCUCUCCGCCACUGUCGGCCAUCGGUAGGGACCAGCAACCACUUAAUGAUAAUUGCGCUGCUUAAAAAUGAACCUCCAAUUCAAAGGGGAAGAAAUGGAAAAGGACAACCCUAAACAUGGCAACCCGAACUGAAAAAGGGGUCACGUUGCUCUUGGCAUUUGUUGAGGCAAUCCUCCCACUGCCAACAGUUUAUACUCGUAUUUCCAGCCAUACGCUCAAUGUUUGAAUGUUUCAAGCUGGCCAGCACAAAAAUAUUUGCUGCUUUUCGCCGCUUAACAACUUACAGAAUGAAAAGGGAUGUCCCCGCCACAACAGCCAUCAGCAGGGAAAGUGCCGGACAAAAGCCAAGCCCACGCACAUUUUUCACAUAAUUUCCUUGGGGAUUAAGUUUCCACUUGGCCCCACCGAUUGGACCAAAGGAAGCUGCCGCAACGCCUCCUCCUCCUUGCGCCUUUAUUAAUUUUGUGCCACAAAAGUAAAUAGCAAACGUAGGAAGACCCGAGUAAAUUUCAUUAAAGGACAACGACAGGGAGUGGAAAAGGAAGCAGGCAGCAGGGUAAGCUAAAAUGUAACUGAUAGAUAAAGUACGAUUACGAUUUCUCGGGUCACAAAUCACACGGCGACGCGACAGGAAAUGACAUUUGUUGUCGCCUGGAAAAUGGAAUAACCAAAAUCGGUAAUGGCAGAUGGCUGAUAGGUGGAUGGGUGGUAGGUAUGGGAGCCAAAUGAAAUUACAAUCAGUCUGGCCUCAAACUGAAUUUAGUUCCCUUGGAAUGCUGCGCCGCUUCGGCUCUUCCCUCUCUUUUUCGGGAAGUUUUUCACUCCGUGCUACCGCAGAGUAUUCUGCAUAAAGAAUUUGCCUGCAGGGCACCGAGCAAUUUAUGCGCACACCUCUUUCGGAAUUUAACAAAAAAUAUAAAAAAUUUACACGCAACAAAAAAAAAUCUUUAUAAAAGUAUGAAACAUGACUGCAAGCAAAGGACAGAGAACGGUGCAAAAAGUGUGACAGAGUGAGAGAAAGACAAAGAGAAAGAGAGAGGGAGAGCAAUGCCUGGGAGACUACACACUUCUUCUUGUUCUUGGGGUUUGCACUUGCUCUUGGGUGGGAAUAAAAUACUCGUAGCCGGUAGCGCCCGACACUUUUUAAAGCGUCAAAAAUGUGUUGUUGCGGUUUAAGUCGCACAGGAAGGAGGUCGGAGUCAUGGAAAUAUUUUCACAAUUUUACGCAGCAGACAUUUAAACAUGGGGGCAUAUGAGACCAUGGAAUGCACUAAUAUAUAACACAAUUUUUGGGUGUAGAUAGGAGUAAACCCCAGUCGUGGGUGAAUUAAACAAAAUAUUUAGCCAGAAAAAUCCAACAUAAACCUCUUUUUUUGUGUUGAAUCUGCCUGUGAGUCUGUUGGGAAUAAGGCUUAAAAUAAAUUAUAGACAAAAUCAAGGCAAUUAAAUCAAAGCCACGUCAGUAACUCAAACAAGGAGGCGGCCUCCAACGUUUGCUGCCUCAUGAAUAUGCAACGACUGAGCGUGUGGCAAGGAGUGUUGUAUCUGUUGUGGGUCUGCAUGGAGGGGGUGUCAGGGCAGGACAGCAGGCAAAUGGGGCAGCAUUUUCGUGAUUGAAUUCAUCGAUGAACAACAACUGCGGGGCAAGAGGCAGAGAGUGUCAGACAGAAAGAGAGAGAGCACGAGGAGUGAAGUAAACCACAGCAGUUGAAGUGUAUGCAAGUGAUUGGCCACAUGUGCCAAGCUGAAUGAACCUCUGUAUACCCUACCCUAUCACACCAGCACUACCACCCCAACCAACCGCUAUCAGUGUCUGUCCAUCCUGGAGUGGUGCACAACAGCGUGAAAUGUGCGGCUGGGGGGCAUUGAAACAAAUCACCUUGAUUGAUGAUUGGCAUUUUGUUGCCAAGUGGCAGACUGUGAGAGCGGGGCACACUCUGGGCCAUAUCUCCCCCCGCCUCUGACACACUCUCUCUCCCUUUCCUCAGCGUCUCUGCUUGUGUAAGUCAAAACCCCAAAAGUCAACCGCAAUUAAAUGAAAAGGCUGACAGAGAGGGUUUGGAGUACGGAUUGUGGAUUGUGGAGUACUAUUGAGGGGGGAAUUUGAGUUUCUGUUUUGGGUUUAUUUCUGCAGUAACAGGUGCAGGCACUGCUCCUGCUCCUCCUCUACCCUCCACCACCCUCUGGUGUGUCUGUUAUCCUUCAGGCACUGCAGUUGUCAGCGCUGUCAGAUGUCAGGCAUUGUUUCCACUGUUUAAUCGAAUUAACAGAUAUGUUCGACUGUUUAUUGUGCUAAUUAAAAAUUGUAAGAGUUGUGGUUGGCGGUUAAAAGCGGAAAGCGAAGGAUCGAUGAAUCAUGGCUCCAGAGAUAAGUGUCAAAUAAGCAGCGAUGCCUUACCAUUUAUUGUUUUCGUUUAUUUGUUGGAAGCGUUUGUCUGGUUAAGCCACAGAGUGUUUCGAAUUCCUGUAGAUAGAAUUCAAGUCUUGAAGCACCCUGCUGCUCUACCGCAUACAUACAUAAAUAUGUACAUAAAAUCUACAUUCAUCUCCAUGUUCUUCUCUUUUCAGUGUUCCCUGCAAUAUUUGCUUGAAAUCAACAAAAAUGCCUAAUUGCCAGAGCGAGUAGCCAGCCCUCUGCCUGAGUGUCUUCAAUCUCUUCAAAGACAUGAGGAAACCGGCCUUCCCGCAGCACGCAACAAUUUCUCCAACAUAAUCAAAUAAUUCAUCAUCAUAAGCUGAUUCCAUGGCCAGCACAUAAGCGCCUAACAAUCUCAGUUUGCAGCCGCACAGACACUGCUACACAUUCCCCAAUGCCCCAUACCCAGAGCAAGGCUUCAGAUCCCAUAAGCGUAAACAGAUUGAUUGGAAGGGUGAUCAGGCGGAAGCCCCUUAGGCCGCACACUUAACCAAUGCAGGAUAGGACGAGCGAGCACCUUGGUCCCCGCAGCCUAAGGUGUUGUUCGGCAGGAGCAGAGUAGCAGUGUAGCUUCGCGCCGAUGCAAUCAAUCAGUAUUCAAUACAUUUUGGAGAAGGCAGACAAAGGAAGGACUGUGGGGAGAAAUCUGUUAUGUGUAAGGAAGGGACAGGAACAGGGACAGGAACAGGGAAAGGGACUGGGACUGGGCGGGAGUUAAAAAAAAUAAAUCAAACAGCGCUUAAAAAUUGAUUAACGUUCGCCCAACCAGUUAAACGUCAGCAAAUUGUAUUUUUAUGUUAAGACCAUUAAUGAAAACCGGAAGCAAACAGAAACCAAAUG